rnacentral:rRNA from 1 species
UACGGAGGGUGCGAGCGUUGUCCGGAAUCACUGGGCGUAAAGGGCGCGUAGGCGGCGCGGGUAGUCAUCGGUGAAAGUUCAGGGUUCAACUCUGAAUCGGCCGGUGAUACUCCCGUGCUCGAGCACUGUAGAGGCAGGUGGAAUUCCGGGUGUAGCGGUGGAAUGCGUAGAGAUCCGGAAGAACACCGGUGGCGAAGGCGGCCUGCUGGGCAGUAGCUGACGCUGAUGCGCGACAGCGUGGGGAGCAAACAGG